CUAAGUACAGAUGAUUUGUUUAAAGUUAUAUGUAUUUUACUGUUGUAUUUACUUGAAGCUUUCUUAGAUUUUGAAACGAAGUAAACACGUAAUGUGUGUUGCUAAUGUUGGGCCAUGUAAUAUGUAAUACAUUAACGUUUUAAUGAAUAGUCUAACGAUUUAUAGUCAUGGUACUCUAUUGUUAUAAUAUGUCUUUUUGACUGAAUACAUGUUUGUUUUAUUUGUCUAUAUCUUAGAUUCGCAGCUGGACACAUCCUUCUACACUGUAUGCAAACAUGCAACAUCAUAACACACAGUACAAGGAGUCAGACUGGCAUAUGAGGAGCAAAGGAACCCACGCAGUAGCAUCGUUUCACAAUGUUUCCAUCACCAUCAUCAGUGGAUGCCUUUGCCGUCCGUAGCCUGAGAUUUCAGAUUUGCAGCAAAAAAAUGUGAUUUUCUCAUUUAUUGGAAUGCUAUGCAGGUUGUACCUUGCAGCCAUCCAUUACAAUGUCACCAAGCCGUAACAAAAGCAGGAGAGGGAAAGUACAAGGCUAUGUUCCCAAAACACAAAUGACAUACCUUAUGUGGAUGAUGUGAUCAGGCUUGUGUUUGAUGAGGUAUUUGAAGAUAAGCUGAAGGAAACCCCGAUUCCAAUGGACCUGGCAUCACAGUUUGAGAGACCUUCAAAGGAGGACGUGAUUGCAUGCCAUCUUCAGUGC